rnacentral:lncRNA from 1 species
CUCAGGGAUCAAGUAGUGGAAGGCUCCUCUGGCUGCAGCAGAAUAAGGCUUGGAGUUGGACUUGGCACAGACUUAGACAGGCUCAGCUGCUUUGUACCCAUCUAGAACUCAGACAGUGAACCUUCAGAGGUGCUGACAUUGGUCCAAGAAGGAAGAGUCUCAAGGCCAGUGACUAGUAGUUGCUGAUGAGGAGAUGAAGAGGAAAGCCCUCCAAGUCAGAAUUCUUGGGAUUCUGCCUUACCCUCAGCCCUGCGUGUAGCUGCCUGUGUUAUGGGAAGACUCUGGGAAUUUGAAGAUGACAGCCAAACACUGCUCUAAAU